AGCUCCAACUGGGGCGACUUGUGGAGGGUGGUUCCUGGGACAACGCCCAUGCCGUGAUCAGGAACGGGGUCAGCAGGAGUCAGGUGGGGAAGUGCCAGGUGUCCACUGCCACGACCAACACGUUACUCACACUCACGGCACAAGAAUGGCCUCUGUACCCUGUGUGUAGGUAGGUCAGAAGCUUUUUUGUUUGUAUUUUAUGACUUUUAUAGAGUUAUGAUGACAUGUAUUUUUCUCAAAUUUUCAUAGCUGUCUCUCUAAUGAACUACAAAGUAGGGCGUUCAUGGUCCUUCUGGGAGGUGUGUGACUAAUGCGGGAAUUUCAAGCACCAUGACAGGGCGAAGGGAGCAGAAAUUCUGCAGGAAAACCGGGGGGCGGGGAGAACAGUGAUGUGACAUCAUUAGGCUGAGAAAGAGGUAGAUAUGGGUCCUCGUAGCAAACAGGAAUGACACUGGUUAACAUUGAAGGUACUCUCUCUCAAGUGUGUCAGGCUCUGUCCUAAGCUUGACCUGCAUCCUUCCAUUGGAACUUCCAGACGACUCUCCGAGGUGGUGUCCCAUUUCUCUGUACAGGCAUAUCCAGGCACAGUCGCUUGUAUGUCUGAGACCUCAAGCUGGAGAGUGCUGAUGGCCAACAUGCUGGUCACCUCUCCACAGUCCUUCCUCCUCCUGGACAACACCCCUGCUCUCUCUGGAUGGUCCUGAGCUAAGCCCGGAAGGUGAAUCACAGGGGUCUAAGUCAAUCGCGGGAUCCCACCUCUCUGCCUGUGAUUGGUGGACAUUGAGCCACUUCUGACCAAUGACGUGCAAGGGAUGUGCUUGGGGGAUUCUGGGAAAAUCUUUUCUCUGUAAAGAGAGGGGGCUCAUGAGGAGCAUGUUUUCUCCCCUGGCCUCAUCCCCUCCUGCCCUGGGCAUUGUCACCUGACCCCUCCUCCCCACCUCCACUGCCACCACCUUAAUCCAAAGCACAGCAUCCUGUGUUCGUUUGCUUGGAAUAUUCUGGUCUUCUCCUCCCUGGUCUCAUGCAGCCCGAGGAUUCUGCUCAAAUCCAAGUCAGGCCGUGUUGCUCCUCUGCUCGGAGCCCUCCAGGGAUUUCCCAUCUCACACUGAGUCAAAGCCCAAGACCCCAUCACUCCCCACAGGACCCCACUGACCCCCGCCCCUCCCCGCACCCUCCCCUGCGUCUCUCCCUUCCACUCACUGUCCCAGCCACCCUGGUUUCCUCACAGGCCCUUGACCUCCCCGGCAGCUCCGUCUCAGGCCUCUGCACGAGCUGCUCCCUGUGCAGGGAAUGAUCUACCCUAGUAACCCCCAUGGAUCCCUCCGUCCCCCAGGUCUCUGUUCACAAGUCUCCAUCUCCACUAGGCCUUCCCUGUCACAGUGUCUAAAAUGCAACCCUCCCCAUGCCCUGGGCCCCCACCUCUUCCCAGUUUAGUUUCUCUGAUACACUACCUGGUACACCGAGCUAUUUGGUUUGCUGUUCCGCUUGCCCAACCAGAACAGCAGCUCUACGGCGGCUUUGUCUCCCUCAUGGGCCCCCUUUUGGGGCCUGGGGCAGUGCUGGGCACGUGGCUAUCCCCAAAUAAAUAAUGACUGAAUAAGUGAAUGAAUGUACAUGGGGGCUGUGACAAUGUGUGACCAUGAGGGAUGCCUUGGGGGCCACAUGAGGCCAGAGGAGACUGGGCAGUGGCUUGGUGACUCUGUGGAGCCCCUGCCUGGCCAUGGCCCUCCCGCCUCCAGAGUUCUCCUAAGGGGUAAGAAAAGGCCUCCAUUGCUGGCACCUUCACCCACCGCAUCUCCCGUUGUUGCAGCCACAAUUUUCUUACAAGGACAGUGGCUGGAUUUGAGCCCAGGCUGUGUGGCUCCAGACCUAAGCCCAGGGCUUUGUCUGGGGUGUGGCCCAGGGGCAGGUCCUUGGGUGUGUGAGGGUGGCUUGGCUCAGCUCCUCUCCCUAGGUCACUGCAGCGGCCCUGUGCUGUUCUGUUUUCCCAUCCAGAAGUCCUGAGGGUCUCAGCAGAGGGGCCCAGGAUCCAAGUCCAUCCACUCCCAGGGCGGGUCCCUAGCCAGCCUCUGCCCAGCAUGUGGUGUGGAUGCUGCCAUAUCCUUCUGCUUCCUGAAAUGUUUCCCUUCCAGAACUUUCCAGGCCCAGGUUCCCCAUGCGGGGCUGCCUGAGCACCCCCACCCUAUGGCCAGCCCUGCUGCCCUGGCUUCCACCUCCAGAUCCUUCCUGCCAUGUCCCCCUCCAAUCAGAGCCGACCCACACUGUGUCCCUCCCAGUGGCUCUACUGCCUACUGAACACGUGCACCAUCACCGCCGUGGGGCCCACAGAGUCAAGGCUAUAAAGAGGGACUGAGAACACCGUGACGCCCUGGCCUGCGCACCCUCCUCUGCUCCAUCUGGGUCUGUCCGGAUGGCAGAGGCUCAGAGGGUCUGCCCCUACCAGAUGGUGGAGGCUCAGAAUGUCUGAGCCAGAAAAAGCAUGAAAGAAAACUUAGCCUUCCUCCUCCCAGUUAACAGGUGAGUCAGAUCCCAGUGCCCUGUAGGGACUGCAGAGGCAGCUCCCUUCUCUUGCCCUUGACUCCAUGCCCUUCUUCUUCUUCCUGCCUAGCUGCACACAUGGCACCAUGCAAUUCCCCUCCUCCUCCUCCUCCUCCUCCUCACUUCUGCUCAUGUGGGGAAACCUGUGCCUUAUGUAUCCUGCACCCCAGGGUUCUUGGACCCUGGACCCCAGCCUGUGGGCAGCAGGCCCUCCAAGCUCCACCCACUGCUCAGCACCACGUCCAUUACCCCCUGUCCAAGCCACUGUCCUCUCUUGUCCUGGUGAUUAAGACAGGCUCCUGUGGAGUUUCCAUGCUGCGCCUGCCCCCAUGAUCCAUUCUCCUUUCAGCCACCAGAGUAAGCAUGAUAAAGUGCAAUUAAGAUGAUGCCACUCUCUCAUCUACAAUCUUCAAUGACUUCUCAUUGCUCUUGGAAUCAAAUCCAAACCCCACUGUGGCUUGCAUGACCCCCUGUGAUCUGGUCCCUGCCCUCACGACACAUCUCUCCCUGUUCACUUUGUACUAAGCACAUUCCCACCUCAGGGCCUUUGCAUUUGCUGGGCCUGCAGCCUGAAUUGCUUUCUUCCCAGACCUUCUUGUAUCUGACCCCUUUUCAUCCUUCUGGUAUUAGCUCACCUGUCACCCCCACGUGAAGGCUGUAUCAAUCAGCAUUUUCCAGAGAAACAGAAUCCAUAUGGAGAGAGGGGGGGUGGGGAGAGAGAGAGAGAGAGAGAGAGAGAGAGAAACUUAAGGGAUUCGCUCAUAGGAUUGCGGGGGCUGGCAAGUGUGAAAUCUGCAAGCAGACAGGCAGGCUGGAAAUUCCAGCAAGAGUUAAUGUUGCAGUCUGGAGUCGGAAGGGUGGAAACUCAGGCAGAAUUUCUACGUUACAGUCUGGAGUCAGAAUUCCUUCCUCUUUGAGGGACCACACUCUCUUAAGGCAGCAGUCCCCAGCACUUUUGGCACCAGGGACAAGUUUUGUGGAUGACAAUUUUUCCACGGACUGUGGGGGGUUGGGUGGAUGGUUUCAGGGUGAAACUGUUCCACCUCAGAUCAUCAGGUGUUAGAGUCUCAUAAGGAGCACGCAACCUAGGUCCCUUGCAUGCGCAGUUCACAAUAGGGUUCAUGCUCCUUCGAGAAUCUAACGCUGCUGCUGAUCUGACAGGAGGUGGAGAUCAGGUGGUAAUGUUUGCUCACCCACAACUCACCCCCUGCUGUGCGGCCUGGUUCCUAUCAGGCCACAGACCAGUAUCCCGGUCCACGGGCCUGGGGGUUGGGAACCUGUGUCUUAAGGCCUUCAACUGAUUGCAUGACACCCACC
rnacentral:lncRNA from 1 species